rnacentral:lncRNA from 1 species
AUGCAUAUUGUUCAAUGUAUCCCUUAGAUAUAGAAUGCACAGAAAAAGUACAAGGGAACUUACCUCCUUCAUGGUNGAAGGAAUGCUAGUAGGACUUCAUCGAAAAAGUCAUCCUGGAUUGGAAUGUUAACUCUUCCCUUCUCAAUCCUACUAAGAUGGUCAACUACUAAAUUGUGUGCCCCACUUCUGUCUUGAAUAAGAGACAACUUGUCCUUCUCGUUCUUGACCAUUGUGAUUCCACCUUUCUUCAGGACCGUAUGCAUAGGGCCCACCCAAAUGCUGUCAGAAUUGUGGUCUAUAAUACAUGUUUGUAGUAGCUUGGUGUCCCUUUUCUUUACAACCCCCAUCAGUUGAGAAUUCAGUCUUCCUUGGGGUUGUCUCAUUGGUUUAGCAUCACUUGAUAAGUCAAUACAAAACAAAGAAUGAUCUUUAAUCGGAUACUUCCCAGAUUCCAACACGUUGA